CUCCCACCUCAGCCUCCUGUGCAGCUGGGACUAUAGGUAUCUAUGUUCCAAUCUUCAGCACUGUAUUAAAGAGAACAACUUGGAAAUGAGCUUAGGAUCCACAGGUCCUGGGAAAUAGCUUAGGACCCAUAGAUAAAGUUGGUGAAGGACAAUUUGCUUAAUUUAUUGCCUUGGAAUUUGAGCUCAGGAGUUCAAGACCAGCGUGAGCAACAUGGUGAAACCCAGUCUUUACAAAAAGUUCAAAAAUU
rnacentral:lncRNA from 1 species